rnacentral:tRNA from 1 species
GGGAGUGUAGUUCAGUUUGUAGACCACUUGCUUUGCAUGCAAGAAACCCUGGAUUCAGUGCCCAGCACCACUA